rnacentral:rRNA from 1 species
GACGCGUCCGGCAAACGUUAUUCGGAAUCACUGGGCUUAAAGCGCGCGUAGGCGGUCUAAAAAGUUGGGUGUGAAAUCCCUGGGCCUAACCCAGGAAGUGCACUGGAAACCGUUGGCCUAGAGUAAGUUAGAGGCGGGGGGAACUCCAGGUGGAGCGGUGAAAUGCGUUGAUAUCGGGAGGAACACCGGUGGCGAAGGCGCCCCGCUGGACGUUAUCUGACGCUGAGGCGCGAAAGCUAGGGGAGCAAACAGG